GUCAACAAAUCAGGCAGUUAAUAGUCAGUUCAUAGUAAUUUCGUUCUGGAUUGUUCGCAUCCUCCCUGAAGAAAGCAACGCGUGGAUUCUGCCGAAGACCAAUCCAAGAAGAAGUGAAAAGUGAACAAAUUGCACUGUAAUUCGAAUUCCUUUCUUCAAUUAGUGCACAUACAAUGAACGGUCAUCAUCGCAAGAGGAAGUGGCAAGCUCGGCGCGGUGAGGAUCUCACCCCCGACGACCGUAUUGAACUGAUUGCCGAGUUGAUGGCUAAACUA